CACGUACUCCCUCUAUCCGAAAAUAUUUGUCAUCAAAAUGGACAAAAAAGGAUGUAUCUAAAACUAAAAUACAUCUAAAUACAUCCCCUUUUAUUCAUUUUGAUGACAAGUAUUUCCGGACGGAGGGAGUACAUG
rnacentral:pre_miRNA from 1 species